rnacentral:ncRNA from 1 species
CAGUUUGGUUUUUGGAAACAAGAUUAAAAGGGAAUGCAGUGAAAGGCUGAAGGAUUUAAGAACUCUUAAAUCAUAAGCCAAAAUUCUGCGACUGUCCUCGCAACUGUGAAUGGCGAGUGCCUUUAUCAUUAGCCACUGUGACUAUAAGUAUCACGGGAAGGCAUAAAAGCACGAUUGAAGCCACAAGUCAGGAGACCUGCCAAACA